rnacentral:rRNA from 1 species
AGUGAACGCUGGCGGCGUGCCUAAUACAUGCAAGUCGAACGGAGUGGCGCACGGGUGAGUAAUAUAUAGUUAAUCUUCCCCUUCCUGGCCGACAACAGUUAGAAAUGACUGCUAAUACUCCAUAGAAAGGGAUGAGACUAUAUCGUAUCAGCUAGUCGGGGGGGUAACGGCCUACCGAGGCGAUGAAGCGUAACUGGGCUGAGAGGAUGAUCAGUCACAUUGGAACGGAGACACGGUCCAAACUCCUACGGGAGGCAGCAGUAGGGUAUAUUGCGCAAUGGGGGAAACCCUGACGCAGCAACGCAGCGUGGAGGAUGACACUUUUAGGAGCGUAAACUCCUUUUGUUAGGGAAGCGGUACCUAACGAAUAAGCAACGGCUAACUCCGUGCCAGCAGCCGCGGUAAUUC